AAACGGGCCGCAAGCCCUAGCUGCCUUGCCGCCACGACCGGGAAGACCCACGACGAGCCGUGACUGCCGAACGCGCGCGCGGAGCUGGGCUUUCUCCAAAGGGAAGGAAAUCUGCCCAAUAGGGUAGCUGAUGCCCAGGAAUCACUUGGCUGUGUAAUAGUGUCAAGAAAGGCAUAUCUGCAACAAGAAGAAAUCCUGGGAUGAAGUCUCUGAGGAUCCUGCAUCUCAGAAUGCUUAGACCGGAGACCUCGCUUAGCUAGGGGGAUAAUCUGCCCUGUUGUUCUACCCAGACAUCCUACAGUAGAUGAACUCCAACCACAUGAAGAAGGCAACUUAUUUCCAUCAAUAUAUGUGUCAGAUUAAUCCAAAAGCACCCUCACAGAAACAUCCACAAGAUAUUUGUCCACUGUCUGGGUAACCUUGAUCCCACUCAAGUUGGCCUAAAAAAAUUAACCAUCACAUAGAAUUUGGCAAACCAAAGAAAACAGCCAUAAAAUUUAAAAAAAAAAAUGUUUUUGAGACAGUUGGCAAAUUCUGAUUGCUGGCUAAAUAUUAAGCAAUAUUAAGAAUGAUUUACUAGAGGUUCCUCAAAAGAGGGAAAAAAAAAGAAAACUAAAAAUAGAACUGUCAUAUGAUCCAGCUCUACCACUCCUGAGUAUAUAGUCAAAAGAUUCUAAGCCAACACACCAUAGAGAUACUGGCACAUCCCUGCCAUAACCUAACAGGCACCAGCCUUACUUGAUUGUACUAUGUCUUGUUUCCUAUACCAACAACCUUCUAAAUAAACCCUCCUAGAAUUGUC